rnacentral:rRNA from 1 species
UACGUAGGUGGCAAGCGUUGUCCGGAUUUACUGGGCGUAAAGAGCGCGCAGGCGGUCGUUUAAGUCGAGUGUGAAAGCCCCCGGCUCAACUGGGGAGGGUCACUCGAUACUGAUCGACUCGAAGGCAGAAGAGGGAAGCGGAAUUCCCGGUGUAGUGGUGAAAUGCGUAGAUAUCGGGAGGAACACCAGUGGCGAAGGCGGCUAUCUGGUCUGCUCUUGACGCUGAGGCGCGAAAGCUAGGGUAGCAAACGGG